rnacentral:lncRNA from 7 species
AGCAGCCCGCAGUCGGACCUAACGCUCUAGUCGACAAAACAAAACACUUGUGGGAAAGAAAACUUGCGUUCUGUCAGAGGAAGACCAGCAUUUGAUGACCCUUGCUUGAGGACACUCCCUUGAGGCUCUACAAAGAGCACCUGCAGGCAGUUUUGAAAUCUUUUAACAACCCCACCCCCAACCCCAACUCGAGUGAAUUUGUGGUGGUUUAGUAUCACCCUGGAAUGAAGCAUAAAAAUUCCUUUAUAACAAAA